rnacentral:ncRNA from 1 species
AACAAAAAGCGCCAGGACUCAAGUGAUUGAUAUUCAAAUGACCAAAGCAAAGAUUUGAAGUCUCACUUAAGUUGACGAGGAUGGGGAGUAUCGAAUCUUCGGCGGAUGCCCCACGGUACCACACUACCGUUAACAACUGAUAAAUACAGAAAGUGAUUUUUGUAACAACA